GACGAACGCUGGCGGCGUGCUUAACACAUGCCAGUCGAACGGAAAGGCCCUGCUUUUGUGGGGUGCUCGAGUGGCGAACGGGUGAGUAACACGUGAGUAACCUGCCCUUGACUUUGGGAUAACUUCAGGAAACUGGGGCUAAUACCGGAUAGGAGCUCCUGCUGCAUGGUGGGGGUUGGAAAGUUUCGGCGGUUGGGGAUGGACUCGCGGCUUAUCAGCUUGUUGGUGGGGUAGUGGCUUACCAAGGCUUUGACGGGUAGCCGGCCUGAGAGGGUGACCGGCCACAUUGGGACUGAGAUACGGCCCAGACUCCUACGGGAGGCAGCAGUGGGGAAUAUUGCACAGUGGGCGGAAGCCUGAUGCAGCAACGCCGCGUGCGGGAUGACGGCCUUCGGGUUGUAAACCGCUUUCGCCUGUGACGAGGCGUGAGUGACGGUAAUGGGUAAAGAAGCACCGGCUAACUACGUG
rnacentral:rRNA from 1 species